UGCCUGGAUUCUGCUGCCUCCAGGGCUCAGCUGAGCUGCGUUUCCUCCCGGGGGAGUUUGGGGUCUUUGCAGUUUGGAAAACCCCAAAUCUGUCCGUGCACGGACCCACCGUGCGAAGGCCAAGCUCAGGAACCGCAGCAGGGAAGGGGCUUUGCUUUUCUUUCCUUUUCCCUUGCUGGUACCCGGUGAGGCCUUUGCUUCCCAGCCACCUCCUAAAGCAUCCCAGCCCCUUCCCAGGGGGAAUUCUGCUCCCUCCAAGCUGGGGGGAGCUGCACAUCAGCAGGUAAACACAGACAGGGAUCCCUUUCCCUACCCAGCCCAGGGAACCCUGCAAGUAUUUUUCCUUUUCUUAUUUUUUUUUUUUUUUGCAAAGAAGUGGCAGUAAUAAAUACUUUUUUUCCCCUCACCUGUGCCAUGCUUAGGGGGAAACGGCCUUCAGUUCUAACAAUGGAAAGGUUGGUUUUUUUUUUUUUUUUUGCCUGUUUCCUGAAGUCUGCUGUCCACAGACAUGUCUGCGAAGCCUCCUCAGGUGCUCUAAAAAGUUCCCAUUUUUGUCCCAGACUGAAGCCGUUCCCUGCGAGUCCUGCCCUCCAACCACCCUCAGGAGGGUUGGCAGAAGCCGCUACCUCAAAGUCACACAUCAAAUAUUCACAUUUUUCCCCACAUCUGAGCUACCCCUUUUUCCCAGGACUAUUUCUACUCUGGGACAUUCACUUGGCCUCCUCCUUCAAAAAUAAACUCCUAAUUUUUAACAUCAAGCCGGAUUUUGGUGUUACCCUUUCUGUUCCCCUCCGAAAGCUCCACAGGUCUCCCAACCAGUAAAGGAGCACAGCCAGCCAGCGACGUACAAAACUACCUAUUCUUCUCUCCCCUUUCCAGUUUGGGGUGAAAUGGAGCCGUUUUAGGUCCCUGGGUACACUGGGCUCCCGCCCCCACACACAGCCCUGGAGGCAGCGAGUUUCCAUGGAAGUGAUGCCAAGGUUGAAGGUGCUGUGGAGUAAAUCCUGCAGGGAACAGGCAUCAGGAGUGCGACAUCCCAGCAAUUCACCUGCUUUAAAAGAAGGGAAAAAAAAAAAAAAAAAAGGAGUAUUUUAGCUUUCACACAGCUAAACACAAGAGGAAAUUUAAGCAGCAGCACGUGACACCAGCCUGGGGCCAUCCCAGGUCAGAGGGCACGGAUAUGACCUGUAAAUAAAGUUAUUUUUUUGUUACAUAAAAAUAAUUGCAGGUACUACACCUGCAUCUGAAGUAUCGUGGUUUUCAAAUCGCAUCUUCCUGUUCCUCUCGUGUCUCUCUCCGGGUGUUGAAGACCAGAAGUGGGAACAACCUGGGUCUGACCAACAGUGAGGCUGAGCACACAAACACCUGCCAGCUUUGCAAACAAUGCAGGUUUUACGCUCCCUCUGGAAACACAUGGGGACACCAACAAGGAAUUUGCACUUUCAGCCAGCUCGGAGGCAGAGAGGCCAAAGCCAUCAAAGAACGAAGAGGACAGAAAUUCUUCUGGAGAAAACAAGUAAAAUAUACCAAUAAAAUGCAAAUGGCCACACAACUGCUUUUGACACGAGCCCACACCCUCCCCGGGAAGCAGCCCAGGUCCUCACCCAACACAGACCGGGCUAUUUGGAGCUGGGUUUUGUUUGCUUUUCAGAAGCUAGAAUUAGUCCAAAACCAAAAGAUUAAAAAAAAAAAACAAAAAAACCCAACGGACUUUUUGGUGCGUGCGGAGGGUGUGUGAAUAUUUGCCGCCCUGUGUGGGGGGAAGGCGAGGCUCACCAGGCUGAUUUCCCACCCCAGGUGAGAGCAGCAGAGCUGGCAGCUGGCUGCUCCCAGAUGUUUCCCAACUGUGAUUUAAUAAUGGAGAUAUUUUCAACACAGCACAACUUUCCUUGACAACAACCCAUUAAGUAUUGACAAUUAAAGCACUGUGGAUUCAUUUGUGGCUCUUUUAUUCCCUCUGAACUGACAAAACAAGAAAACCCGGAUUUUUGAUUUCUUGACCUCGAGCACUUUUCCCAGGGAUCAUUUGGGAUGCAAGUGGGUGUCUGCAUUUCACACACCUGGAAGGAACCGGAUAAUCCCCAAUUUAGCCAGGAAGUGGGAACAAAUCCUGAGCGGCGAGGCCGGGCACUGCCCCCUCGCCCACGCCACGGCCGUCUUCCCACAUCAAGGAGCAAAAUCAACCCCCAGGGGCUGGGACCAAGCCCUGUACUGCGCCCGGAGACGGGUCACAGCACCCCGCUUCAAACCCAAGGAGAAACCAGGCUCCCCUCAUUAUUUUAAGGUAUUAAUAGAGCAGCGAGCCCCCAGGUUGCUGUGCAGAGGGGAGAGAGCGAGGUGUGUGUCCUCGCCCGGCCACGGGGCGGGCAGGGCUGAAAAGGGAGCGGCAGACAACAGUGAUGCUGGACAGGAUCUCACGUUUAUUAUUGAGAAGUGAUUAAUGGUGAAAAGAAAGGCAACGCCCAUUCCUCAUUGGCUUAACAAGAAACUGAAGAAACAUAUUCACUACACAUUUUACAAUUAUUUUUUUUUUUUUUGUCCAAAAUUCAUUUUUCUGUAAACAAAACAAGUUUUUACCACUGUUCUUAGCUUUCAAAAUCAAAUUAAUCCAGACUUAAUCUGUAAAUCUGUAUAAUGCACAAGAACAGAACAUUUCUUAGGACUCCUAGUACUUGACUUUUGAGUAACAAAGGGUCAGAGAAAAAUGAACCACCUUUAGGACACCACCUCGUGGACAAUUUCUGUUCAAUUCUUCUUAGGCCAAAACCCCAACUUCCUUGUAGAAUUCCUCCUCUUCUUCUAGGCCAGGGGGGUGGGGUGGGGGGGCAGGGAAGAAAAAAAAAAAGUUACUCCACUUUUCAUGG